AGUGAACGCUGGCGGCAGGCCUAAUACAUGCAAGUCGAACGGCAGCACAGCAGAGCUUGCUCUGUGGGUGGCGAGUGGCGGACGGGUGAGGAAUACAUGGGAAUCUGCCCAGUCGUGGGGGAUAACGUAUGGAAACGUACGCUAAUACCGCAUGCGCCCUACGGGGGAAAGUCGGGGACCGCAAGGCCUGACGCGAUUGGAUGAGCCCAUGUUCGAUUAGCUAGUUGGCGGGGUAAAGGCCCACCAAGGCGACGAUCGAUAGCUGGUCUGAGAGGAUGAUCAGCCACACUGGAACUGAGACACGGUCCAGACUCCUACGGGAGGCAGCAGUAGGGAAUAUUGGACAAUGGGGCAACCCUGAUCCAGCCAUGCCGCGUGAGUGAAGAAGGCCCUCGGGUUGUAAAGCUCUUUUGUCCGGAAAGAAAAGCAAUCGGUUAAUACCCGGUUGUUCUGACGGUACCGGAAGAAUAAGCACCGGCUAACUUCGUGCC
rnacentral:rRNA from 1 species